AGUGAACGCUGGCGGUAGGCCUAACACAUGCAAGUCGAACGGCAGCACAGUAAGAGCUUGCUCUACCGGUGGGCGGUGGCGGACGGGGUAGGAAUAGAAUGGAAUCUACUUUUUCGUGGGGGACAACGGUGGGAAACUUACGCUAAUACCGCAUACGAUCUACCGGGGGAAUCAAGGGUUUCUGCGACCUUGCCCCAUUGAAUUAGCCGAGAUCGGAUUAGCUAGUUGGGGGGGAAAAGGCCCACCAAGGCGACGAUCCGUAGCUGGGCUGUGAGGAUGAGCAGCCACACUGGAACUGAGACACGGUCCAGACUCCUACGGGAGGCAGCAGUGGGGAAUAUUGGACAAUGGGCGCAAGCCUGAUCCAGCAAUACCGCGUGGGUGAAGAAGGCCUUCGGGUUGUAAAGCCCUUUUAUUGGGAAAGAAAAGCAGCAGGUUAAUACCCCGCUGUUCUGACGGUACCCAAAGAGUAAGCACCGGCUAACUUCGUG
rnacentral:rRNA from 1 species